GAAGUUUUGCAGCAUCCCACAAGUUUUGGAUCAUUGCAUCUUCAUUGUCAUUUGUUUCCAGAGACACCAAGACACCUCCCACUGAUGUAAUUCUUAUAUUUGCACUUGAGUGUUCAGCAAAAGGUUGUUUCCAUGUCUUGGCUAUUGAAAAGAG